GCUGCCCUCUUCGACCUCAAGUGAUCACUCUCCGGGGUUAACUAGGGAAGCCUUCGUUAAGGCUAAGGAAUGGUUGGUGGACCUUGUUGGUAGAAGUGUGGAAGCUGGUAAGCCGCGUCAAGGGGAUUCAAUUCAAUCGACAUGUAGCAGAGGU